GGUGAUUAGAAGUCCCAGGAAGGUCCUCCAGACAUGCGCAAUGGUAUGCCUGAGACGCCGGCAUCCACGAGUAUUGACCCCUCCGUACGUCUCUACAAUGUUGUUCAUCAUUUUACUAUUUCACCAUCUGUAGUAAGCUGUCACGAGUCUCUCAAAAAGCGCAACAUCCUGUUUUAACACUAACAGUAAUCUGAGAAGAAUGUCUGGGAGGAUGUUUCCAUUUGUAGUAAUAAGCUGGAAGAAGUGAAAAAGGACGCGCGGAACCAGACGUGAUUCAUGGCGAUGAUGAUGACAACAAAGAUACCGAUAUCGUGCGGAUGGUGUUGAUCCGAGAGGUCCAAUUGAAGACGGAACUAAUCAUCAACCCGAAUCUACAUCCGUGUUUCAGAUGUCCCAGGAUUGUGAAUGAUGGCUAAGAAGAUUGUACUUCAAGAAUCUUUGCGAAAUUGGAUCCAAGGACAUUCAUUGGAUGAAGAUACCGGAUAUCACUAUUUUAGCUUGGGAGAGGAACCAAAUUGGUACAUUAUGCAUGGGAACAAAGUCUCAGCAAUAAUGGCAUGAUUGGUGCCAAGUUUUGCAUUUUCUUACAUGCUAACACCAUUGGACACAGGAUCUCUGUGAUAAUAUACUUUUCCAAGAUUGACUUUAUGAUGCGACAAAAGACUCAGAUAAAAUAUUGAUGAACAUGAAAAUUCUUCCGACCUUCUCCCAGUUAGGUCUUAAGGGGAUCCUUGACUAACGUGGGAAGAAGGGGGGGGGGAUUUGUCAGAACUAUUGGGUAUGAAUA